GAUUGCAACGACCCUCUCUGUAAUCGCGGCUG
rnacentral:ncRNA from 1 species